rnacentral:tRNA from 11 species
GGCCCCGUAGCUUAGUGGUUUAAAGCGCCUGCCUGUCACGCAGGAGAUCGUCGGUUCAAAUCCGAUCGGGGUCGCCA